UGGGGAAUUUUGGACAAUGGGCGAAAGCCUGAUCCAGCAAUGCCGCGUGUGCGAUGACGGCCUUCGGGUUGUAAAGCACUUUCAGUUGUGAAGAAAUGUACACGGCUAAUACCCGUGUAAGCUGACGUUAACAACAAAAGAAGCACCGGCUAACUCUGUGCCAGCAGCCGCGGUAAUACAGAGGGUGCGAGCGUUAAUCGGAAUUACUGGGCGUAAAGAGCGCGUAGGUGGUCUACUAAGUCAUGUGUGAAAGCCCUGAGCUUAACUUAGGAAUUGCAUGUGAUACUGGUAGUCUAGAGUAUGGUAGAGGGAAGUGGAAUUUCCGGUGUAGCGGUGAAAUGCAUAGAUAU
rnacentral:rRNA from 1 species